rnacentral:rRNA from 1 species
UACGGAGGGUGCAAGCGUUGUCCGGAUUUAUUGGGCUUAAAGGGUGCGUAGGCGGCUUUUUAAGUCAGCGGUGAAAGACAACAGCUCAACUGUUGCAGUGCCAUUGAUACUGAAGAGCUUGAGUACAGAUGAGGUAGGCGGAAUUUAUGGUGUAGCGGUGAAAUGCGUAGAUACCAUAAAGAACACCUAUUGCGAAGGCAGCUUACUAGGCUGUAACUGACGCUGAGGCACGAAAGUGUGGGGAGCAAACAGG